rnacentral:rRNA from 1 species
GACGAACGCUGGCGGCGUGCUUAACACAUGCAAGUCGAGCGGUAAGGCCUUUCUUGGUACACGAGCGGCGAACGGGUGAGUAACACGUGGGUGAUCUGCCCUGCACUUCGGGAUAAGCCUGGGAAACUGGGGGUAAUACCGGAUAUUACCUCCUGUCGCAUGGUGUGUGGUGGAAAGAUUUAUCGGUGCAGGAUGGGCCCGCGGCCUAUCAGCUUGUUGGUGGGGUAAUGGCCUACCAAGGCGACGAAGGGUAGCCGACCUGAGAGGGUGACCGGCCACACUGGGACUGAGACACGGCCCAGACUCCUACGGGGGGCAGCAGUGGGGAAUAUUGCACAAUGGGCGAAAGCCUGAUGAAGAGACGCCGCGUGAGGGAUGACGGCUUUCGGGUUGUAAACCUCUUUCAGCAGGGACGAAGCGGAAGUGACGGUACCUGCAGAAGAAGCACCGGCUAACUACGUG